AAACCAGCACCUCAAGUGGUCAGGAGGAUUAUUGGGCCUGCAUCCGUAGCCUGUUCUGUAAGUUUUCGGUUAAAUCCAUUAGCUCAACUAAUGGGCCGCCGAAAAUACUGUAGAACUCGGGAGUGGGAGAGGUAGACGGUAUUCGGUAGGAAGGGGUAAAAUCCUUUGAUCUAUUGAGGACCACCUGUGGCGAAGGCGGUCUACCAGAACACGUUCGACGGUGAGGGAUGAAAGCUGGGGGAGCAAACCGGAUUAGAAACCCCGGUAGUCC
rnacentral:rRNA from 1 species